rnacentral:rRNA from 1 species
GAUGAACGCUGGCGGCGUGCCUAAUACAUGCAAGUCGAGCGAAUGGAUUAAGAGCUUGCUCUUAUGAAGUUAGCGGCGGACGGGUGAGUAACACGUGGGUAACCUGCCCAUAAGACUGGGAUAACUCCGGGAAACCGGGGCUAAUACCGGAUAACAUUUUGAACCGCAUGGUUCGAAAUUGAAAGGCGGCUUCGGCUGUCACUUAUGGAUGGACCCGCGUCGCAUUAGCUAGUUGGUGAGGUAACGGCUCACCAAGGCAACGAUGCGUAGCCGACCUGAGAGGGUGAUCGGCCACACUGGGACUGAGACACGGCCCAGACUCCUACGGGAGGCAGCAGUAGGGAAUCUUCCGCAAUGGACGAAAGUCUGACGGAGCAACGCCGCGUGAGUGAUGAAGGCUUUCGGAUCGUAAAACUCUGUUGUUAGGGAAGAAUAAGUGCUAGUUGAAUAAGCUGGCACCUUGACGGUACCUAACCAGAAAGCCACGGCUAACUACGUGCCAGCCGCCGCGGUAA